rnacentral:rRNA from 1 species
GAGCGAUGAGAUCACUUCGGUGAAGGAUUAGCGGCGAACGGGUGAGGAACACGUGAAGAAUCUGCCUUCAACUCUGGGAUAACUCCGGGAAACCGGGGCUAAUACCGGAUAUGAGCCUUGAUCGCAUGAUCGGGGCUGGAAAGUUUUUCGGUUGAAGAUGACUUCGCGGCCUAUCAGCUUGUUGGUGAGGUAAUGGCUCACCAAGGCGACGACGGGUAGCCGGCCUGAGAGGGCGACCGGCCACACUGGGACUGAGACACGGCCCAGACUCCUACGGGAGGCAGCAGUGGGGAAUAUUGGGCAAUGGACGAAAGUCUGACCCAGCGACGCCGCGUGCGGGAUGAAGGCCUUCGGGUUGUAAACCGCUUUCAGCAGGGAAUAAGCGCAAGUGAAGGUACCUGCAGAAGAAGCACCGGCUAACUAUGUGCCAGCAGCCGCGGUAAUACAUAGGGUGCAAGCGUUGUCCGGAAUUAUUGGGCGUAAAGAGCUCGUAGGUGGUUUGUUACGUCGGUUGUGAAAUUCAGGGGCUCAACCCCUGACUUGCAGCCGAUACGGGCAAGCUAGAGUUUGGUAGGGGAGACUGGAAUUCCUGGUGUAGCGGUGGAAUGCGCAGAUAUCAGGAGGAACACCGAUGGCGAAGGCAGGUCUCUGGGCCAAUACUGACACUGAGGAGCGAAAGCGUGGGGAGCGAACAGGAUUAGAUACCCUGGUAGUCCACGCCGUAAACGGUGGGCGCUAGUUGUGCGAACCUUCCACGGUUUGUGCGACGCAGCUAACGCAUUAAGCGC